rnacentral:rRNA from 1 species
UACAGAGGUCUCAAGCGUUGUUCGGAUUCAUUGGGCGUAAAGGGUGCGUGGGUGGCGCCGUAAGUCGGGUGUGAAAUUUCGGAGCUUAACUCCGAAACUGCAUUCGAUACUGCGGUGCUUGAGGACUGGAGAGGAGACUGGAAUUCAUGGUGUAGCAGUGAAAUGCGUAGAGAUCAUGAGGAAGACCAGUGGCGAAGGCGGGUCUCUGGACAGUUCCUGACACUGAGGCACGAAGGCCAGGGGAGCAAACGGG